rnacentral:rRNA from 1 species
GACGAACCGUACGAACGUUAUUCGGAAUCACUGGGCUUAAAGGGUGCGUAGGCUGCGCGGAAAGUUGGGUGUGAAAUCCCUCGGCUCAACCGAGGAACUGCGCCCAAAACUGCCGUGCUCGAGGGAGACAGAGGUGAGCGGAACUUAGGGUGGAGCGGUGAAAUGCGUUGAUAUCCUAAGGAACACCGGUGGCGAAAGCGGCUCACUGGGUCUCUUCUGACGCUGAGGCACGAAAGCUAGGGUAGCGAACGGGG